ACUCCUACGGGAGGCAGCAGUGGGGAAUAUUGGACAAUGGGCGAAAGCCUGAUCCAGCCAUGCCGCGUGUGUGAAGAAGGUCUUCGGAUUGUAAAGCACUUUAAGUUGGGAGGAAGGGUUGUAGCUUAAUACGCUGCAACUUUGACGUUACCAACAGAAUAAGCACCGGCUAACUCUGUGCCAGCAGCCGCGGUAAUACAGAGGGUGCAAGCGUUAAUCGGAAUUACUGGGCGUAAAGCGCGCGUAGGCGGCUUGAUAAGAUGGGUGUGAAAUCCCCGGGGCUUAACCUGGGAACUGCAUCCAUAACUGUCUGGCUAGAGUACAGUAGAGGUGGUGGAAUUUCCUGUGUAGCGGUGAAAUGCGUAGAUAUAGGAAGGAACACCAGUGGCGAAGGCGACCACCUGGACUGAUACUGACGCUGAGGUGCGAAAGCGUGGGAGCAAACAGGAUUAGAUACCCCUGGUAGACUGUCA
rnacentral:rRNA from 1 species